rnacentral:tRNA from 1 species
AUUAUGUCGGAUCAGAUAAAAGCUUCUAACUUUAUAUCUGAAAGGUUCAACUCCUUUCAUAAUUUU